rnacentral:rRNA from 1 species
UACAGAGGGGGCAAGCGUUAUUCGGAAUUAUUGGGCGUAAAGGGCGCGUAGGCGGCUUGGCAAGUGGAAGGUGAAAUCCCUCGGCUUAACCGAGGAACUGCCUUCCAGACUGCUUUGCUUGAGGCCGGGAGAGGUGAGUGGAAUUCCCAGUGUAGCGGUGAAAUGCGUAGAUAUUGGGAGGAACACCAGUGGCGAAGGCGGGUCUCUGGACAGUUCCUGACACUGAGGCACGAAGGCCAGGGGAGCAAACGGG